rnacentral:rRNA from 1 species
UACUAUGGCCACGCUACCCUGAACAAGCCCGAUCCUGUCUGUUCUCAGAAGCUAGCAGGAUUGGGCCUGGUUAGUACUUGGAUGGGAGACCACCUAGGAAGACCAGGUGUUGUAGGUC